UACGUAGGGGGCAAGCGUCGUCCGGAUUUAUUGGGCGUAAAGAGCGUGUAGGCGGCCAGGUAGGUCUGCUGUGAAAACUCGAGGCUUAACCUCGAGAUGUCGGCGGAAACCAUCUGGCUAGAGUCCGGAAGAGGAGAAUGGAAUUCCCGGUGUAGCGGUGAAAUGCGCAGAUAUCGGGAAGAACACCCGUGGCGAAGGCGGUUCUCUGGGACGGUACUGACGCUGAGACGCGAAAGCGUGGGGAGCGAACAGG
rnacentral:rRNA from 1 species